ensembl:snRNA U6atac minor spliceosomal RNA
GUGGGAGUGAAAUGAAAGGAGGUUAGCACUCCCCUUGACAAGGAUGGACGAGGCCCUCAGCCCUUGAAACACACAUACAGUUAAGGGGUUGCCACCAACUUUGUGGCAUCUGACCAAAGUUUAAG